rnacentral:rRNA from 1 species
UACGUAGGGUGCGAGCGUUAAUCGGAAUUACUGGGCGUAAAGCGUGUGUAGGCGGGCCCGUAAGUGUCUUGUGAAAUCCCACGGCUCAACCGUGGAACUGCUGGGCAUACUGCGGGUCUUGGGCCAACUAGGGGCAGCCGGAACAAGCGGUGGAGCGGUGAAAUGCGUAGAUAUCGCUUGGAACGCCAACGGUGAAAACAGACAGCUGGGAGUGUGCUGACGCUGAGACACGAAAGCCAGGGGAGCGAACGGG